rnacentral:rRNA from 1 species
UGGGGAAUGAUUGCACAAUGGGCGAAAGCCUGAUGCAGCAACGCCGCGUGAGUGAUGAAGGCCUUCGGGUUGUAAAGCUCUGUCUUUUGGGACGAUAAUGACGGUACCAAAGGAGGAAGCCACGGCUAACUACGUGCCAGCAGCCGCGGUAAUACGUAGGUGGCAAGCGUUGUCCGGAUUUUACUGGGCGUAAAGGAUGCGUAGGCGGAUUUUUAAGUGAGAUGUGAAAUACCCGGGCUUAACUUGGGUGCUGCAUUUCAAACUGGGAAUCUAGAGUGCGGGAGAGGAGAAUGGAAUUCCUAGUGUAGCGGUGAAAUGCGUAGAGAUUAGGAAGAACACCAGUGGCGAAGGCGAUUCUCUGGACCGUAACUGACGCUGAGGCAUGAAAGCGUGGGUAGCAAACAGGAUUAGAUACCCUGGUAGUCCACGCCGUAAACGAUGAGUACUAGGUGUAGGAGGUAUCGACCCCUUCUGUGCCGCAGUUAACACAAUAAGUACUCCGCCUGGGAAGUACGAUCGCAAGA